rnacentral:lncRNA from 1 species
CGCUGUUUUAUUUUUUUUAAAAAAGUUCCGAUUUCCAAAAUCCAAAUUCCAAUUUGCUGACGUGUGCUAUCGCUAUAUUUCUUUAAUCUGAUUGGAUAAACGCGUGUGCACACGUCAUCAUUCCUCGUUGCAAUUGGGCGAAAUAUUACAAACAUAUCAAUCACGUAAUCAUGUUUAGUUGUUUUUCAAUUUUGAGCCAAACAAAAUUUCAACAACUGCCUCAAACAAAAUCAAACAAGUUCAAAGCUGUUUUGAUUUUUGAAGAAACUGUGGCAAUGAGAAUACAAGAUCUAGAGCUUAAGAAAUGAACAAUACAUGAACAACCGAGUGUUCACUGCAACGUUCGUCAUUGUUGAUAUGAACAUGAAAUUCGUUAUAUAAUUUCUUUCCAAUUUCAAGUGAAAUCUGCGAGCGAGGAAGACGCCUUAUUGAAGCUUUGUGUUAUGGUAUGUACUGUUUUGAAGAAAAAUAUGCAAGUAGGUUGUCAUAUUUCGGUCGUACUUAAAGACAAUUAAUUUUGAAAAUUGUUUAUGAUAAGAACCUUUCUUGAAUUUGUCGUAUUUUUUCGGCUGUUUUGCUCAAAAAUUAUCUCGCAAGUUUGUUUAUAAA